UACGUAGGGUGCGAGCGUUGUCCGGAAUUAUUGGGCGUAAAGGGCUCGUAGGCGGUCUGUCGCGUCGGGAGUGAAAACUCAGGGCUUAACCCUGAGCCUGCUUCCGAUACGGGCAGACUAGAGGUAUGCAGGGGAGAACGGAAUUCCUGGUGUAGCGGUGGAAUGCGCAGAUAUCAGGAGGAACACCGGUGGCGAAGGCGGGUCUCUGGGCAACAACUGACGCUGAGGAGCGAAAGCGUGGGGAGCGAACAGG
rnacentral:rRNA from 1 species